ACCGGGGCAUCAGGACUUCUCCUACGCACAUGCCCGAACCACCUCAGCCUCGCUUCUCGCAUCUUCUCAUGCACCGGGGCCUCCAAAAGUAAGUAAUUUUUGUAAUAUAUGGACCAAGCAAAAAUUUGUAAUAUAUGGACCAAGCACCACCCAUGUAAACUUCUGUGUCCAUUUACUACAAGUAACAACAAAAACAACAACAACCUACCCAGUAUAGUCCCACAAAGUGGGGUCUGGGGAGGGUAAUAUGUAGACGAGCCUUACCCCUACCCGAAAAGGCAGAGAGGGUGUUUCCAAUCGACCCUCGGCUCAGUGAAGGAAUUUACUACAAGUAAGGGACCAUAUAUUAAUUUCUCGGACUACACGAGAAGUUUUUUUUUUUGGGGGUAAGGUAGAGUACACGAGAAGGUUUAAUGUUAUUGUUCACCUCAAACCUUCUAUGAUUAGAGAAACAGAGCACAGCAACUAACAGUUCCCAUUCCACGAUGAUCGGAUGUUGCCGAAGGAAUAGCAGAGGAACAAACAGUUAGAAUUCAGUUUUGCCAGCCACCAAAGAGGUGCCAAUGCUCUUGUAUUGGCAGUCCACUUCAAUCACAUUGCAAUAAAUCAAAGAAUUCCUGUAAA
rnacentral:lncRNA from 1 species